ensembl:lncRNA
AUGUAAAAAAAAUAUACAGAAAAAAAAAAGCUUUGUCAUUGUGGGGUAUUGUGUGUAGACUGCUGAGGAUUUUUAUUUAUUUAAUCCAUUUUAGAAUAAGGCUGUAAUGUAACAAAAUGUGGAAAAAGUCAAGGGGUCUGAAUACUUUCUGGGAUUUACUGUAGCCUGAGAAUAUGGAAAAGUUGAAUUACUUUAGUGAAGUUUAAGGGGCUCAGUGAUUUUCAAGCCCGAGAAUACUUUUCAUAGGUGAAAUUUCAAACAUCUACAAUUUUGAUAAUAACAGCUUUACCAUUAUGUUCAAGAUGUAUUGGAACAGUAAGACGCCAUCUUUCCAUUUUCAAGCAGUGUGAUAUAAUCAGCAGGAGUGAAAAUAUAGAGAAACCUCUUGUGCCAAGUCAAUUGCACUAAUCAGAAAGCUUUCUAUUGUUAGGCAGUUAUGUCAGAUCCUUCAUUUUUCAUAUGCAUAGCCCAGACCAUAGUAAAGAAACUGCAUACAAAGUCUGUGUUCUUCAUGGCUAGCACUUGCAUUGUAUUGGGAUAUCAAUUAUCAAGUAGCAUUUUGGAAUAUGAACAAACAGUAAAUGGUCAUUAAGAGAGAUGCUCCUUAUCAAUAUAAUCUUAUUUGAUAACCCAAUUUGUUUAUAACCCAAAACCCAACCAUCAUCUGGAUUGAAAAUGUCUGAAUACAGUAAUGUGUGUGUGUGUGUGUGUGUGUGUGUGUGUGUGUGUGUGUGUGUGUGUGUGUGUGUGUGUGUGUGUGUGUGUGUGUGUGUGUGUGUGUGUGUGUGUGUGUGUGUGUGUGUGUGUGUGUGUGCGCUCAAUGGUAAGUAUGACCGGACGUCGUCUACUGUUGAUAUUGCUCACUACAGUUGUUUAUAGCUAAUGGAAUACAGUACAAUGUUUCGCAUUUCUCCGCCUACUCAUUCUAAUCCGAAUGUACAAUAUUACAAACAUUAUUACAAACAUUAUAGUAGAGUUGUACAGUUAUUCUUUUGACCUAUUCAUUAUUUAUCUGAUGUAUUACUCUGCUUAAAAUGUUUUACUGUAUAUGAAAUCAUUUGCUGUCAGAGGAAAAAACAAUGACGACUAAUUGUAAAAUAGGAAUAUUUUUGAAAAAACAGUGUGGGACCUUCUAUUAAAGGCCAGGAAGGUGUUUUUCCUAACAUACUAGUCUUACAUUUGUUUUGCAUUUAAAUACUGUAGAAUGAUUUCUCUGUCCAAGGCCAGUGAGUAUACUCCAAAUAAAAACAUGUGUAGGCAGUGCAAGAUUAUAGCUCAUCGGUUCAGGUACAGUUACAUAGCUUUCAUAGCCAUGUUAACAUGCCUUAUAGUGACCCCAAAGCAUUUAACAUCAGCCUUUAACAUCAAAGCAAGCUGCUGAAAUCCAGUAAGAUGGUUGAGACAAGAUGGUUGAGAGAGAUACAGCGAAAUGGUUUCACAUGUAACAGAUGGAUAACAAUGAUCGCAACUUCAGGAGGAGAGUGACAGAUGGAAUUGAAAUAGAGACCGUGAUACAACCUAUAGACGCACAACAAGGUCCACUCUCCCUUUUAACCUUUCACCUUGAAAAUAAAAGCAGACAUUUUACAAGAUUAGUAAAACAAUUUGGACACCUUUGAAUGUAAAUAUGUACAUAUACUUUAUUGAUGUAAAAAAAAAAAUGGUAAUGUUCAGAUAUUGUUACCCCAACACUUUGUAUAUCGUCUGCCCAUGAAUAAAACAACCAUUUGGUUCAAGGAGAUCAGUUUCCAAUUGUCUACCAUCUUACAGUACAUGUUCUUAUAAUAUUUCGGAGGAUGAACGAAUACAGACUAAUUGUUCUUACACGUUUUAGCCUGGAAAAGCACCUUUCAUUGUCUGUAAU